AGUGGAUGGGGAGCAACCUAGUUGUGCGUGUGUAAAGGUAGUGCCAAGAAAAGCGAUGAUCAUGUUGAAAAUCAAUUCCCGGUACCCGAAACCGACACAGGUGGGCAAGUAGAGAAUACUAAGGGGCGCGAGGUAACUCUCUCCAAGGAACUCGGCAAAAUGACCCCGUAACUUAGGGAGAAGGGGUGCCACCGAGAGGUGGUCGCAGUGAAGAGGCCCAGGCGACUGUUUAGCAAAAACAUAGGUCUCUGCAAACUCGAAAGAGGAGGUAUAGGGGCUGACGCCUGCCCAGUGCCGGAAGGUUAAAGAAGUUGGUCAGUUUUAGGAUGAAGCUAGCGACUGAAGCCCCGGUGAACGGCGGCCGUAACUAUAACGGUCCUAAGGUAGCGAAAUUCCUUGUCGGGUAAGUUCCGACCCGCACGAAAGGCGUAACGAUCUGGGCGCUGUCUCGGAGAGAGGCUCGGCGAAAUAGGAUUGUCUGUGAAGAUACGGACUACCUGCAUUUGGACAGAAAGACCCUAUGAAGCUUUACUAUAGCUUGGAAUUGUGUUCGGGCUUCCUGUGCGCAGGAUAGGUGGGAGGCGUAGAAGGUAUCCUUGUGGGGAUACUGGAGCCAACGGUGAGAUACCACUCUCAGGAGGCUAGAAUUCUAACUUAAUUAAGGACAGUUUCAGGUGGGUAGUUUGACUGGGGCGGUCGCCUCCAAAAAGGUAACGGAGGCGUACAAAGGUUCCCUCAGACUGGUUGGAAAUCAGUCGAAGAGUGCAAAGGCAGAAGGGAGCUUGACUGCGAGAAGUACAGUUCGAGCAGGGUGGAAACACGGUCUUAGUGAUCCGACGGUGCUGUGUGGAAGGGCCGUCGCUCAACGGAUAAAAGUUACUCUAGGAUAACAGGCUGAUCUCCCCCAAGAGUUCACAUCGACGGGGAGGUUUGGCACCUCGAUGUCGGCUCAUCGCAACCUGGGGCGGAAGUACGUCCCAAGGGUUGGGCUGUUCGCCCAUUAAAGCGGUACGUGAGCUGGGUUCAGAACGUCGUGAGACAGUUCGGUCCAUAUCCGAUGUAGGCGUGAGAAUAUUGAGAGGAGCCUUCCUUAGUACGAGAGGACCGGGAAGGACGCACCGCUGGUGUACCUGUUAUGAUGCCAAUUGUAAACGCAGGGUAGCCAAGUGCGGAGAGGAUAACCGCUGAAAGCAUCUAAGUGGGAAGCCCACCUCAAGAUGAGUAUUCUGUGUAAGGUCACGGGAAGACGACCCGUAAAUAGGCACGAGGUGGAAGUGCAGAGAUGUAUGAAGCCGAAGUGUACUAAUAGACCGUCGGCUUGAC
rnacentral:rRNA from 1 species